rnacentral:lncRNA from 1 species
AAAGAUCUUAUUUUUUUUCUUCAGGAAGAAAUUGAUGCAGCAGAUUAUAUCAAUAUAUUUGUUAUUAUUGCUUCCCAUUAAUGCCAUAAUAUUGAUUCAAAUUAUUACCAUGUUAAACAAAAAUUUCAAAAACAUUCUAAAGUGAUGUGCCCUGCAUUGAGGAAGAUUAUUAUUUUCUUUAAUAUUGAUUAUUUACUUUCCCG